rnacentral:rRNA from 1 species
UACGUAGGGGGCAAGCGUUGUCCGGAAUUAUUGGGCGUAAAGGGCUCGUAGGCGGUUUGUCGCGUCUGCCGUGAAAGUCCGGGGCUCAACUCCGGAUCUGCGGUGGGUACGGGCAGACUAGAGUGAUGUAGGGGAGACUGGAAUUCCUGGUGUAGCGGUGAAAUGCGCAGAUAUCAGGAGGAACACCGAUGGCGAAGGCAGGUCUCUGGGCAUUAAUCGAGACGCUGAGGAGCGAAAGCAUGGGGAGCGAACAGG